UCCGCAAAUUUUUGGACAAACUUAUGAUGGUGUGUUUUUGUGGCAGUGUGGUUAGCUGGUUGUUAUGACAACGUAGAACCCACAACCACUAUUCACACUUCCUUGAAACCAUACUUUGUUUCGGCCCGUUUUUUAUUUGGUUUAGCUGGUUAUCUGCUCUUUGGGAUUUAUCGUUUCUUGUAUAGCAAAAGAGCUUUUCAUAAAGAAUCAUUUUCAUAAAAAGGCCAAGUAAUGGAUGUAUGGAUGAUUUGAUGGAUGUGUUUUAAAAAAAAAAGAAAUAACCUUUUUUUAAACUCUGACCUUUACUACACAUCUCUCUACUUCAUUCAUACAUUCAUGAUUUCAUCCACCAUACAACACAGCAUAGACAUUUACUUGAGACACAUAGCUGGAUAUAUAAAAAUAAUUAAAAAAAAGUUUCGUUGGUUAAAGUUAUUAUAUAACACACAUUCAAAAAAGUAGGCAGGCAAUGGAGGAAAUCUGAGACGGAUUUUUUGCAUGUACGCUUUUCAUUCUGCACAGUGGCUGUAAUGUUGAAGGUUUCAUCAAUGUUGUAUCAAGUUAUCUUCCAUUGUGCUUUGUAGACGUUUUGCUGCAUGACUUUACCCUUGGAAUGAGUAUAUAGUUGUCCCAGUGCAUGUUGUUCAUUUAACAUUAAAACCAUUAAAUCUAGUCUGCUUUGCUCCGUCAUUAAUCACACCAACUCUUCUGUAUCAUGUUCAUGUAGUCUUGUUAACUCUAUUAAUUGAUGAUCAAAUUUUAAAGUAAAGAAUCUUUUCUUUCAAGUGUUGCGCAUUUUUUGCUGUGGACUGAAUAUCUAACCUAUCUUCCUUUUUUUAUGAUUGACAGGGCGGCGUACGUGUCGUAUGGUGGCCUCCUGAUGAGACUACAAGGGGAUGCCAACAACCUGCACGGAUUCGAAGUGGAUUCCUUCGUUUAUCUUCUCAUAAAGAAACUAGCUUUCUGAUUGUUUGAAAUUUUGUUUAAAAAAUCCAACGUUAUAAUUUCUCUGAUCUCGGGUCCCCCUAUUUGCGGGCAAUCUCAUUCAAAUGUCAGGGGCCAUAAGCAAGAGAUGAUUAAGAAAUGGUACAGUAAGUGACCAUGAGGUGUGACUCAUUGAUACCAACCAUUUGUGUUCAGUCUUCUACAUCUUGUACAUGUAUAAUAGACAAUUGCAGUGGGUAUAUUUCUGAGUAAUUUCCCACUGUCAUAUUUUUUAUAUAAUUGUUGAAUGUGAACUUUUAUGUGCCGGUAUUUUGUUACUGACUGACAAAUAUCAAUAAAGCAACAAAACUAU
rnacentral:misc_RNA from 1 species